rnacentral:rRNA from 1 species
UACGUAGGGACCAAGCGUUGUUCGGAUUUACUGGGCGUAAAGGGCGCGUAGGCGGCUUGACAAGUCACUUGUGAAAUCUCCGGGCUUAACUCGGAACGGCCAAGUGAAACUGUCAUGCUAGAGUGCAGAAGGGGCAAUCGGAAUUCUUGGUGUAGCGGUGAAAUGCGCAGAUAUCAGGAGGAACACCGGUGGCGAAGGCGGCACUCUGGGCCGGUACUGACGCUGAGGAGCGAAAGCGUGGGGAGCGAACAGG